rnacentral:SRP_RNA from 2 species
GUAGUGGGCAGUGCGAGCGGGUUUCGUGUGAAGUCGGUCAGGUUAGAAAUAAAGCAGCCGUAGCAUUGAGUAUUCGGGUUGCACUGUCCACUGGGUU